rnacentral:rRNA from 1 species
UUGAACGCUGGCGGCAGGCCUAACACAUGCAAGUCGAGCGGAUGAAGGGAGCUUGCUCCUGGAUUCAGCGGCGGACGGGUGAGUAAUGCCUAGGAAUCUGCCUGGUAGUGGGGGAUAACGUCCGGAAACGGGCGCUAAUACCGCAUACGUCCUGAGGGAGGAAGUGGGGGAUCUUCGGACCUCACGCGAUCAGAUGAGCCUAGGUCGGAUUAGCUAGUUGGUGGGGUAAAGGGCUACCAAGGCGACGAUCCGUAACUGGUCUGAGAGGAGGAUCAGUCACACUGUAACUGAGACACGGUCCAGACUCCUACGGGAGGCAGCAGUGGGGAAUAUUGGACAAUGGGCGAAAGCCUGAUCCAGCCAUGCCGCGUGUGUGAAGAAGGUCUUCGGAUUGUAAAGCACUUUAAGUUGGGAGGAAGGGCAGUACGUUAAUACCUUGCUGUUUUGACGUUACCAACAGAAUAAGCACCGGCUAACUUCGUG